UAUCUGCAAAAAGAUCCAUUAAAAAUUGCUUUGUAUUUCCAAUACAAUUAAAAACAAUGGAGCCACACUAAAACUAUUACUAAUUAUUAUUAUGCAUAUAUAUGUAUAUAUUUUAUGCACUGAAUCAUUGAAUUUAGAAGCGGACAGUUAUUUUUAUUAAACUUUAAUUCAGGACUUUUAGUGGCAUUAGCGACAAAAGUAAACCAGUCCAAUAAGUCCAGACCCAGUCCAGUCCACACGUCUGAUUACCUAUAAAUGCCGACACCACAUUAUGCCCAUACACAAUGUGUUCCAAACAAGACUGAAGUUGACGAAAACAAACACACCCUCCUGACAACCCAAGCCACACACAGAUGUAGAGAAAAUCCAAGACAAAGUUUUUUGUUCUCAACAAGUGAAAGGACGAAUUUUGGUACAGAGACAAGGAAUAAACACAGCAGUUGCAGAAGGAACCAGAACCAGGAGAGGAUUACGAAGGAGAGUCAAGCAGUGAGCCUCAGGCAAGACGAACAGAUCACACACACACACACACACACACACACACACAUCACAGACAGUUUACGUCUCCUACCUCCUCCGUUUGUUUCAUCUUAGGGCUUCCAGUUGGAAUGAGAAGAAGCUGCAAAAAGUUCUCAUCUCUCUACAUCAGGUCCGCGGACUCGUAAAAAGGCUUAAUUUUAAAUCCCACUGAUUUUUUGUUUUUUUUUUGUUUUGAUAUAUAACUCGGGAAAUAAGAAAAUACCAAAGUCACUAUCUAACAAUUUCUUUCUUCAGUUUUACCCAAAGUGUGGUGCGUGCUACCCUGAGGGUACGCCAGAUGCCACUAGAGGGUGCACAAGAUAAAAAUGUGAAGUCAAGAAUUUAAGGCUUUAACUAAAGGCUUAAUGGAUGUCCUAUGUGUAUUCUGAUCAUUUAAGGAUGAGUAAACACGAUGCCUUUAUAAGAAAGCUUGUUGUAGUACUGCCUUUAACCCAGUACUUCUCAAAAAGUCCUGGGGGGAGGAAUAUCGCACACUGGACAUAAGUGGACCACUGCUGUAAUGCUUGAAUGAUAAGAAGCCUCCAGUCACUAGGUGGCAGCACCUCAUACAGUGGUUUGUACAAAUAAAAAAUAUACGUUAUCAGGUUCUCAUAGUAAAGACAUGACAGAAACUAAUUGAGAACCACUGCGUCAACACAAACAGCUGCCUAUAUCGACAUCGCUUAAUAUCAGAAUUGGAAAUUGAAUGUUUGGACAACGCAGGCAAAAAGUAAAUAUCAGACAUCUCAGUUUGUUGAACUGAUGGUAAAAGCAGCAGCAGCAGUAACAAGUCGGACACAGCAGUAGUCUGGUAGGCACCAGUGAGUAUAUUAUCUGUUUCCAGUCAUACAGGACAAUAACACAAACCACAGAGGCAUUGCUAUCUGUCAGGGCAACUUACCCAAAUAACUCUUCUGUAUAUAACUCUCUCUAAUAUGCAGAUAUACAUUUUUUUUUCAAUUUUUUCUUAUUAAACCUCUCAUUCUCCAAUCAUAAAAAGUAUUCACGUUUAACUUUUUUUUUUAUAACAGAAACAAACUUUUGAUUUCACCAUGCUGUCGUUGUGAUACAAGCUCUAUUAACAAGAUUUGACACCAUCAUUACUACUUUGCAUCAGUACACAAUUACAAAAAAAGAAAAUGUAACCUGACGUUGAUGAAAUGCCCGUCAUUUCCCACAGGCUGAGGAGGAGGACUUUACCAGUGAAACUCUACCUUUGUCGGAGGACAAAGAAGCUAAUAUGCAUACUGUCAUAGUCGUACAUGUAUUGCAAAAUGGCACUAAAGGGCUGCCUUGGU